rnacentral:rRNA from 1 species
UACAGAGGGUGCAAGCGUUAAUCGGAAUUACUGGGCGUAAAGCGUGCGUAGACGGUUACGUAAGUCAGAUGUGAAAGCCCCGGGCUCAACCUGGGAAUUGCAUUUGAGACUGCGUAGCUAGGGUGCGGAAGAGGGAAGCGGAAUUUCCGGUGUAGCGGUGAAAUGCGUAGAGAUCGGAAAGAACACCAACGGCGAAAGCACUCUGCUGGGCCGACACUGACACUGAGAGACGAAAGCUAGGGGAGCGAAUGGG